rnacentral:lncRNA from 1 species
CAACCAAACACGCGUUCUUAGCUGGCCGGUGUGGCACAACCCUCCCCCCACCUCCCUUUCAGGGCCUUCGCCAGUGUGGGAGCCUCGUCUCACUGGAGAGUCCCCUCAG